rnacentral:lncRNA from 1 species
AGGAAUCAUCAGGAUACAAAGCACUUCUUUCAAGACAGAAAUGAAGUACUCAAUAGAAAAACUGGAAGUUAGAUAAAUCAGUUCCAGUUCAAAGAUCUUGACAAUACUUUGGAGAUGUAAUAGAGAUUCUAUGAAGCUGCUACUGUGAUUCUGAAGAAGCAAUGGGAGAGAGAAAAAAGAGAAGAAAAAGAACUGUUAAGUAAGACCCAGGAGUCAGAAAGGAAAAACUUGGUCUUCAGAAUAAAAAUCAGAAGUGGCAGAUAUAAUAACCAUUAUGUAUAUGACAUGCAUAAUAAAAUUUGGCUGACAGACUCCAGCAAUGAUUCCUUUUAUUCCAUAGAAACCUUUUAACCACCUUUACCAACUGAACUGUGUUUCACCAAAAUUCAUAUGCUAAAAUUCCUAAUACUUGAUAUAAGUGGAUUUGGAGAAUGGAUCUUUAAAGAGGUAAUUAAGGUUAAAUGAGGUCGUAAUGAUGAAGCCCUAAUUGGAUAAGAUUGGUGUCCUUAAAAAGAAAAGGAAGAGACAAAAAAGAUUUGGGAUGUGCACACACAGAGUAAAGACUGUGUGAAGUGGCAUGAGAAUGUAGCUAUCUGCAAGCCAAGCCGAGGCUUCAGGGGAAACCAAUCCUCCUGGCACCUUGAUCCUGAAAUUCCAGUCUCUAGAACUAUGAGAAAAUAAAUUUCUAUUAAUUUUGCUAGCCAUUCUGUGUGUGUGUGUGUGUGUGUGUUUUUCUUUUUAUGACUGUCCCAGCAAACUAAUGCAAUCAAAACUGAUACAUCCAGUGAGAGGGAGGGAUGGAAACCUUAACAAUGGGAUAGUUGAAAUAACUAAUAAUUAAAUAAUUUUUUUAAGUAAAUGGGAAGGAUAAGAGGGGGUUGUUUAUCAGGCAAAGCUGAGAUUGGGAGUCAUUAACUUUCUAUAACAUACUUCUAUACUAUGUUGGAAUAAUUUCAAAUUGAAAUUAUAAAUUCUCUGAAAUUAAUUUGUUAGCUCUGGCAAAGAUGUGAUCAAUAUAAUAUAUGAUUUUAUUGAUUGUCAAAAGCAAAAAAUUUAAAGAGUGCUAAAAAUUGAGAAAAAAAUCAGAAUCAGAAAGGGCAAAGAUAUUAACCAACAACUCAAGGUUAACUUGUUAACAAUAUCAUAGGGAAGAGUGAUUGAUAAUAAGCAUUAAAACCAACCACUAGUUGGCCAUUUAUUAUAAUUUACUUUGCUUUUCCCUACAUGUUUUAAUAGAAAGUAGAUGAAUGAUUCUGUUUAAUCUUAGGAGUGUAAUUGUCAUGGCUAUAGUUUGAGUGCCUUUUUAUUAACAUGUGGGCACAAUGAAGAUGAAAUCCAAG